UGGGGAAUUUUCCGCAAUGGGCGCAAGCCUGACGGAGCAAUACCGCGUGAGGGAGGAAGGCUUUUGGGUUGUAAACCUCUUUUCUCAAGGAAGAAGCACUGACGGUACUUGAGGAAUCAGCAUCGGCUAACUCCGUGCCAGCAGCCGCGGUAAUACGGAGGGUGCAAGCGUUGUCCGGAUUUAUUGGGUUUAAAGGGUGCGUAGGCGGGCCUUUAAGUCAGUGGUAAAAGCCUGCAGCUUAACUGUAGAAUUGCCAUUGAUACUGGAGGCCUUGAGUACAGAUAAGGUAGGCGGAAUUGAUGAUGUAGCGGUGAAAUGCAUAGAUAUCAUCAGGAACUCCGAUUGCGAAGGCAGCUUACUGGUCUGUAACUGACGCUGAGGCACGAAAGCGUGGGGAGCAAACAGGAUUAGAUACCCCCGUAGUCC
rnacentral:rRNA from 1 species